CAGGUCCUCCUACGGGAGGCAGCAGUGGGGAAUUUUGGACAAUGGGGGCAACCCUGAUCCAGCAAUGCCGCGUGUGUGAAGAAGGCCUUCGGGUUGUAAAGCACUUUUGUCCGGAAAGAAAACCGCUUCUCUAAUACAGGGGCGGGAUGACGGUACCGGAAGAAUAAGCACCGGCUAACUACGUGCCAGCAGCCGCGGUAAUACGAAGGGUGCAAGCGUUAAUCGGAAUUACUGGGCGUAAAGCGUGCGUAGGCGGUGAGUUAAGUCUGUUGUGAAAUCCCCGGGCUCAACCUGGGAAUGGCAAUGGAUACUGGCUCGCUAGAGUGUGAUAGAGGAUGGUGGAAUUCCCGGUGUAGCGGUGAAAUGCGUAGAGAUCGGGAGGAACAUCAGUGGCGAAGGCGGCCAUCUGGAUCAACACUGACGCUGAGGCACGAAAGCGUGGGGAGCAAACAGGAUUAGAUACCCUGGUAGUCCACGCCCUAAACGAUGCGAACUGGAUGUUGGUCUCAACUCGGAGAUCAGUGUCGAAGCUAACGCGUUAAGUUCGCCGCCUGGGGAGUACGGUCGCAAGACUGAAACUCAAAGGAAUUGACG
rnacentral:rRNA from 1 species